rnacentral:rRNA from 1 species
CAAGUCGAACGAAAAGCCUCCUUCGGGAAGGUGGAAAGUGGCAGACGGGUGAGUAACACGUGGGAACGUACCCUUUGGUUCGGGACAACUCCGGGAAACUGGAGCUAAUACCGGAUAAGCCCUUUGGGGGAAAGAUUUAUCGCCGAAGGAUCGGCCCGCGUCGGAUUAGCUUGUUGGUGGGGUAACGGCCCACCAAGGCUUUGAUCCGUAGCUGGUCUGAGAGGAUGAUCAGCCACACUGGGACUGAGACACGGCCCAG